UGAAAAUAGCGAAAAAACUAAACCUUGCGAUUUUUGAAUUUUAGGGUUCAUUCGACUUGGCCUGAGCCAAGGAUUCAGAGGAAAAAAGAAUUUCCAUUUUCUGGCUUACGGUUCAAAAGUUAUUAGCAUACAAACAUUGAAAGUUUGGACAAGUGGUGGCGCUAGAGAGUAGGAGUUAGAGGCUUCAAAUUUGCUAUAGUUAAUGUUGGGACUGUCCUCUAUCAGUGUGCCAAAUUAUACAACUUUCCCGCAAACGGUUCUAUGGGCUGCCAUAGACUUGCGGCGGAAGAAGAAGAAGAAUAAUAAUAAUAACGCCAACGAAAACAAUAGGUGCCUACGCACCUUCGGUGCUUGGCCCCUAAAUAUAGCUGCAAGCAGCAAUAACGGGGCCAAGCACUACAGAAGCAAGCUUCAGACGAACGGCAGGAAUGAGUAAUUAAGACAGUUUUAAGAUUAUUUUAGGCAAAAUGGCUUGAAAACAAUAAACACAACAACUAGUAAUAGGAUUUAUUGGCUUAUCACGUGUAACCAAUAGGUGGCGCUGUUACCAAAUUAGUUUGAAAUGGUCAGUGUGAGGUGACGAUGACACAUACAAAGUUUUUUGCAAAUAUGUCAAAGCUUUGCAGAGAUACAGCCUCAAAUGCAUUUUGGAACCCUUCCAGCUGAUUCGUUGAUGCGCUAAAUGAGAACCGUUUCGUAUAUUGACACGAAAUCCAUAACAUUUUGCCAGAAUGGUCUGAAGAUGAUCCAUGUCAAAUUUGGUGAAAAUCGGACUAACGGUCUAGGAGGAGUUCGAAAAAGUAGGUUUUCAACAUUAAUCAAAAUGGCGGACAGGAAGUUCAGCCAAAUAAGGAAAACUUGAUAUCUAUGUUCUCGGCUUGACCCAAGGAAUCUAUUAAGAUCAGCGUCAUGUCAAUAGCCAGAUCUUUUCAAAAGUUAUUAGCCUUUAUGUAAAUUGAGUUAUAACUUUUGACCACUAGGUGGCUCUGUUUCAAAAUAUUUUGAGUACCUUCAGGGGAUGAUGUUGUUGGCACAUUCUGAGUUGUGGAAUAUAACACCAAUGCAUUUGUUUAGUAUAGCCUUUUAUUUCACAAAACUGUAUUGAAGUCAAUGGGAAUUUCAUGUUUUGUUAUAUUAUAGCGCCACCAAGAGGCUCAGUCCCACCAUUUCUUUUAUGUGUCAUCAGAGUGAGCCCAUACAUAUGCGUGUCAAUUUUGGUGAAAAUAUCUCAAUUCACUUCAGAGUUAUAGACAUUUACAUGAAAAAACACGUAAAAAUUGACUGACUCUUGACUUUGAUUGAAUAUUACUACCCCUUACUAUCAAUAUUUUUGCAUUUGGGCAUUGGCGUAUAGCUAUCGACCUAUGUUUACGAACUUCUGACGGUGGUUUCGUCUCGAUCAGACAAGCGGUUUCGAAGAUAUAGCCAAAUGUUUUUUAAGCGCUAAAUCACAACGCUACACAAACCGUAAGGCAAAACCUAGCAUGUUUGGUAUUGUAGGACUCUGUAAGGUUUCAGGAGUCCAAUUUGAUGAGUCUGGUGAAAAUACGUCGACCACACCCAAAGUUAUAAGCAUUUAAAAAUAGAAGAUCACCACUAGGUGGCGCUGUUUCGAAACUUCUCAUACUCCUUCAGGACAUUGUGCUGAUGACCCAUACCAUGUUUCGUAACAAUCCGUUGAUGUGUUCAGAAAAUACAGCAUUUUAGCACAAAAUUCAAAAUGGCCGACAGUCAAAAUGGCCGAAAUGGUCAAAUUGGAUAUCAGUCGACUCGGCAUGUUGCCCUGAAUCUAACAAGACCAAUGUUAUGAUUUUUGGACAAACUGUUCAGAAGUUAUAAGCAAAAAUAGCAGUUUUUCAUAUCUCCGGAUCAGUAGGUGGCGCUGCGCCCAAUCACAGCAUGUUGCCUCAGGUCAUGCUUGUUAUGACAUGUACCAAGUUUGGUCUGAAUAGGAUAAGUCGUUGCCGAGAUACAGCCUUACGACUGUUUUUGUAAGCACUACAUAAAAUUUGUUAGAGCGUUUAUCGAAAACGGUUUGACGAAUCAAUUUGAUUUGCAUAACUUUUGGUCAGCACUGCCUGAGGAUGAUAUGGUUUAAUUUUCGUGUGAAUCGGACAAACCGUCUAGGACGAGUUCGAAAAAGUAGGUUUUUAAAGAAAUUCAAAAUGGCGGUCAUAUUUCUAUGACGGAAAUGACUUCGUAGGGUGCAAUCGAAUCGGCAUGAGCUCAGAAAUCAGAGGAAAAAAGAAUUUCGUUGAUUGGCCUUAGGGUUAAAAAGUUAUUAACAAAAUUAAAGUGAAAUUUUGGACAGUUGGUGGCGCUAGAGGGAUUGACUUAGACACACCAAAAUUGGUGUACUUAAUGUUGGCACUGUCCUCUAUCAGAAUGUCAAACCAUUACAACUUUCCCGCAUUCGGUUCUAUGGGCUGCCAUAGACGCCCAGUCGGAAGAAUAAUAAUAAUAAUAAAUAUAGCUGCAAGCAGCAAUUACGGGGCCAAGCACUCCAACGGCAAAUGUAGUAGCUAAGCAUCGCAUAAAGCAUCACACCAAAUACAUUAAUGAGCAAUAACAGCAAUUUUGGAAUUAUUGUAUUUGAAAUGGCAAAAAAAAAAAAACACCAAUACCACCUCUAGUAGCAUGAUUACUUGGUUUAUCAAGCUUGACCAAUAGGUGACACUGUUAUAAAAUCAAUUUGGUGUACUCUGUGUGUCUUUUCAAUGACACACACAAAGUUUGGUGUUAAUAUGCCAAAGCAUUCCAGAGAUGCAGCCUCAAGUGUCAUUUUCUCAUUGUGCCUCAAAUUCGUCGAUGUGGUAUGCGAAAACGGUUUUGUCUAUCGACUCAAAAUCCAUAACUUUGAAUCAGUAUAGCCUGAAGAUCAUUUGAUUCGAAUUUGGUGAAAAUCGGACAAACGGUUGAUCAGGAGUUCGAAAAAGUAUGUUUUCAACAUAAAUCAAAAUGGCGGACCGGAAGUUCAGCUUACCGUGGUAUAUUUGGUAUCUAUGUUAUCGGCAUAAGCCAGGGAAUAUUUUGAGCCCAGUUUCCUUCAAAUAGGCUAAUGCAUUAAAAAGUUAUUAGCAUUUUAAAAAGUGUAAUUACUCAUGGUUAAUGAAUGGUUUAUUACUCUUGACCAAUAGAUGGCGCUGUUACCAAAUUUAUGUGGCAUGGUCAGUGUGAGGUGGCGAUGACACAUACAAAGUUUGGUUCAAAUAUGUCAAAGUGUUGCAGAGAUACAGCCUCAAAUGCAUUUUGGCACCCUUCCAGCAAAUUCGUUGAUGCGCUAAAUGAGAACCGUUACGUAUAUCGACACAAAAUCCAUAACUUUUUGCCAGCAUGGUCUGAAGAUGAUUCACGUCAAAUUUGGUGAAAAUUGGGCUAACGGUCUAGGAGGAGUUCGAAAAAGUAGGUUUUCAACAUUAAGCAAAAUGGCGGACAGGAAGUAAGGCCAAUAUUCACAUUAUUGGUAUCAAUACUCUCGGCAUGACCCACAGAAUAUAGCGAGACCAUUUUAAUUUUAAUAGACUAAUUUAUUCAAAAGUUAUUAGCAUUUAUGUGAUAUUUCAUUAUAACUAUUGGCCACAAGGUGGCGCUGCCACCAAACUUUUUGAGUACCUUCAGGGCAUGGAGCCGAAUAUUUUUGUAAUUAUUUGCGAAACGAUACGAUGCUGCGUUCAAAAAAUACAGCAUUUUGAAACAUAAUUCAAAAUGGCCGACGCCUAAAAUGGCCGACACAGGAAAAUUGGAUAUCAUUCGACUCGACAUGACUCACUGAAUCUAAAGAGACCAGUUGUGUGAUUUUUGGCCAAACCAUUCAAGAGUUAUAAGCCAAAAUAUGCAUUUUUCAUAUCUCCUGACCACUAGGUGGCGCUGUGUCGAAACACUGCAGGUAGUCUCAGUUCAUGCUUGUUAUAACACACGCCAAGUUUGGUCUCAAUAUGACAAACCGUUGCCGGGAUAUAGCCUCACGUGCAUGUUUGCGUGCUUUUCGUCAAAUUUGUUUACGUGUCAUUCGACAACAGUUGGACGAAUCAACUUGAAUUCCAUAACUUUUUGCCAGCAUGGUCUGAAGAUGAUCUGAGCCAAUUUUCGUGGCAAUCGGACUAACCGUCUAGGACGAGUUCGAAAAAGUAGGUUUUUCGAAUAAUUGAAAAUAGCGAAAAAACUAAACCUUGCGAUUUUUGAAUUUUGGGGUUCAUUCGACUUGGCAUGAGCCAAGGAUUCAGAGGAAAAAAGAAAUUCCAUUUUCUGGCUUACGGUUCAAAAGUUAUUAGCAUACAAACAUUGAAAGUUUGGACAAGUGGUGGCGCUAGAGAGUAGGAGAUAGAGACUUCAAAUUUGCUAUAGUUAAUGUUGGGACUGUCCUCUAUCAGUGUGCCAAAUUAUACAACUUUCCCGCAAACGGUUCUAUGGGCUGCCAUAGACUUGCGGCGGAAGAAGAAGAAGAAGAAGAAGAAAUAUAGCUGCAAGCAGCAAU